CAUAAGGCUCACAUUUCUGACAUUACGAGGUUUCUGAUGGGUCAUUUUAAUCUAGGAGAUACACACCACUUCCCAAGAUUCCAAAGGAAGGAAAGAAAAAGAGGAGUUGAAAGAAGAGUUUGCACGAAGUAUGAAAAUCCUCCCUGCAGAUUUAAGGGUGAACCGUCUUGGUUUUAUCACUGGAUUACGGGUUCUCCUGACUAAGAGUGUUUUGGCUGCUCUGCCCUCAAGCAGAGAAUGCAGAUGUGGGACCUGCUGUAAAGGAUUUACAGAAAAUAGGAGAAGUCUGAGGAUGGCCACAGAUAAAUCAACAAGAAACAUCAGAUUCCUUCAUCAACUGGCCUCCUAGCAGUUGGGUGAGCUGUCGGAAGUUCAUGCCCGGUGAUGACCCACCUGCCCUCACCCCCCAGCAGGACUGGCCACCAUCUUGUCCCCUCUUCUGGCAGUCUCACAGACUCCACAUUUAAGAUUGCAGUGUCACAAGAUCAAAGGAUCCUGGAACCCUGGGACACGGCUUGAUAAGGAGCCACCCAAGAAAGCCAUCUGACCAGCAUGAUGUG